UAUGGCGCUUCAUAUGUAAUUUGGCGAGGCGGAUUCCCAGCUACUGUAUUCAAAUUAGAUGCCCUAUAUUAAUUUAUUACACCGACCUGAAGGGGAGUGUUCUGUACACAGAUACACUGUAGUGAUGGAGGCCCACAAUUUGUCCUGCAUCAUUUGUUUGGAUCCCUUCACCGUCCCAGUCACCGUCCCAUGCGGUCGAGACUGCAUCACGGCUCACUGUGACACGAAGUCCAUGUCCGAUAUGCCCUGUCUGCAAUGAGAAAUUCACCACCAGGCUUGUCCUGAAUCGCAACGUGUCCCUGUCCUCUUUGGCUGAGGCCUCAGCGAACAGUGCCGGUGCAUCCGGUAGAGACACUGUACCUGUUAUGAGGGGCGACAUGGCCAGAGCCACGCCCCUGAUUCUGUGUGGCCGACACAAGAAGCCCCUGGUGUACUACUGCCGGACAGACAACGUGUGUGUGCUGUGAGUGUGCCAUCUCUGAGUGUAAGAACCACGAGGAGGUGCUGGUGGAGUGUGAGAGGGAGAACCGAGAGUCACUACUGUGGAGGAAGAGUGUAGAGGUGGGAAUAUGUAUAGAGGAGACUGAAAGGAGCUGGGCUGACAGAGAAUAUCGCCAAAGCCAAGACCGCUGCACUCUGACCCUCGUACGGCCAACAGUCACCUGCUACUCUCCCAGGAGGAGCGCUGCGCCGUGUCCCCGCCCACGAGACUCGCCAAGACCACACCCGGCAGGUGCUCUGCUUCAAACACAGAAAGCAGUACUGGGAGCUGGAGGUGUCCAAGCCAUGGGUCUACCUGGGGGUCAGAGUGUGAAGGCCAUGGUAGCCCAGAGCAGGGGGUCAGAGUGUGAAGGCCAUGGGCCUACCUGGGGGUCAGAGUGUGAAGGCCAUGGUAGCCCAGAGCAGGGGGUCACAGUGUGAAGGCCAUGGUAGCCCAGAGCAGGGGGUCAGAGUGUGAAGGCCAUGGUAGCCCAGAGCAGGGGGUCAGAGUGUGAAGGCCAUGGUAGCCCAGAGCAGGGCUAUUCAACUGACAACAGGGGGGAGCAGUGUAACUGGCUUCCAGGUCCAGAGUUGAGUUUGGGGACUAUAGAAUUGUACCUAUGUCUUUUGAGACUUCCCAACAUAACCUUUGACCCCUGCGUCUCUCCCCCAGUUCACCUAUGAGGGCAUCCCCAGGAAGGAAAAGGGAAAGAGUAGCAUGGUGGUAAUGAACGAUCUGUCCUGGAGCCUCCAGCUGAACGCCUGGCACAGCGGGCGCCGGGAGACGGUGGCUGGUCACUACCACCACAUUGUAAUGCUGCUGGAUUACGAGGCGGGAACGCUGACGUACUACGAAGACAGGCAGAUGAGGCUGCAUUCCUUCUACUGUGCCUUCACUCAGGAGCUGUUCCCCCGCCUGUCGGAUAGGGGAGGGCGUCAGCGUCACCCUCUGCUCGCCAUGACAACACGAAAGGGAACAACUGAGCUAACACUGUCAUAAGGGACUAGUCUUGCAAAGCUGAUGAGUGUUUUGAUCUCUCCUUACUGUACAGAUGUUUUUACAGUCCUGUUGUGGGACACGGACUUGAACGGGAGCGACUAGUAAGUACAUACAGUGCCUUGCGAAAGUAUUCGGCCCCCUUGAACUUUGCGACCUUUUGCCACAUUUCAGGCUUCAAACAUAAAGAUAUAAAACUGUAUUUUUUUUGUGAAGAAUCAACAACAAG